UGCCGUGGGCUACAUAGGUUUUUCUUCUUCCCUUUCCGUUCUCCACACUACCUUAGUACCAGUAUAGUGCAGAGCCACAUAGGUGUAAGGACGUGCGGUUGGACUUUCGGUCGUUGGAAAUUAGUGAGAAUUCACCCCUUUGGUUUCUGUGAACCUACAUGAAAUGGUCCGUUUCUACUUUUUUUAUCCCCACAACACCAUGAUCUUCUUCUCUCCCUUCUCAUAGAUUCUUGCGACUGUGAAUGUGACCCCCAUUUGCUGAGAUCUCUCUUGCACUUCAAGAACACCACCAACCACGGUACUACAAUGCGCCUUUUUGAUAUAUGCGCUCACCACCAUCAACGUUUAAUCAUCAAGUGAAGCAUCGGAGCUUGGUUUUCAACUUUCAGACUUGCACACCAGUCAAAUGGUUACACUGCCAACACCUUUUUGGAUACAGUGACUGCUGCAAUUGUACAGAGGAAGGCACCGGAAUGGCCAAGAGCAGUAGCAACGAAGAAGAUGAAUGUGAUUAAGGGUGCACUGCAGCAAAUGUGGCAUAGAAACAGGACGAGAUGUCCGAGAGGAACGAUUCCUAUACGGCGGAGCACAGUGGAUGAUGUGCUGAGGACCAAGUCUAUGGUUGACUUUGGCAAGAAACAGCACCGUACCCUAAACAUUACUGCUGAUCUUGCUUCCAUACGCAUCGAUGCCCCUGAUGUAGUCAGCGGGAAUGGCCAUGAGCAUGCAAUCGCGUACACUAGAACAUCCAAGGAGUGUAUGGCGCUCGGGCGACAGUCAAUGUGUGGUCCCCUUCGAUCGAACACGUAAACGAGUUCAGUCUUGCACACAUCCAGUUCUCAAUUACUCAUUGACACAAUCUUAUGGUUUUGUAGACUCAUGUGAGAACAGAAGGUGAUGAUUACACGAAUGCAUAGAGAGCCUAGAGUGGUUGUUAAAGUACGUAUGAGAGCAUCCUAGCAGAUAGAGAGAGGCAACAAUUGCUGAGGCUCAAGCAGUAGGGGCAGUAGUUCACUCUCAAGGUCCUUUGUUUGGAGGUGUUCAAAGAAAUGUGAAGUCUUCAAGUGAUAAUGUUCUCGUUUGUUGGGGGUCUCUGGAUAGUUUGGUAUUUCUUUGUAUAUCUUAUCAUUUUGUUGUUAGCUUUAGUUUAGUGUACAACUGUAAUGUUUGAAUCUAUGAUUUUUUAUUUAAUUGUUAUAUUAUAGUAAAUGUGUAAUUUUGUUUAUAAAUAUUAUAUAAUACAUUUAUUAAACAAUA